CCUACGGGUGGCAGCAGUCGAGAAUCAUUCACAAUGGGGGAAACCCUGAUGGUGCGACGCCGCGUGGGGGAAUGAAGGUCUUCGGAUUGUAAACCCCUGUCAUGUGGGAGCAAAUUAAAAAGAUAGUACCACAUGAGGAAGAGACGGCUAACUCUGUGCCAGCAGCCGCGGUAAUACAGAGGUCGCAAGCGUUGUUCGGAAUCACUGGGCGUAAAGCGUGCGUAGGCGGUUUCGUAAGUCGUGUGUGAAAGGCGCGGGCUCAACCCGCGGACGGCACAUGAUACUGCGAGACUAGAGUAAUGGAGGGGGAACCGGAAUUCUCGGUGUAGCAGUGAAAUGCGUAGAUAUCGAGAGGAACACUCGUGGCGAAGGCGGGUUCCUGGACAUUAACUGACGCUGAGGCACGAAGGCCAGGGGAGCGAAAGGGAUUAGAUACCCGAGUAGUC
rnacentral:rRNA from 1 species